rnacentral:rRNA from 1 species
GACGAACGCUGGCGGCGUGCUUAACACAUGCAAGUCGAACGGUACUUACCGAGUAGUAAUACGAAGUUUGUAUAGUGGCGGACGGGUGAGUAACGCGUGAGCAAUCUGCCCUUAAGAGGGGGAUAACACCGGGAAACCGGUGCUAAUACCGCAUAAGACCACAGUGCCACAUGGUACAGGGGUAAAGGAAGCAAUUCCGCUUAUGGAUGAGCUCGCGUCCCAUUAGCUAGUUGGUGAGGUAACGGCUCACCAAGGCUGCGAUGGGUAGCCGACCUGAGAGGGUGAUCGGCCACACUGGAACUGAGACACGGUCCAGACUCCUACGGGUGGCAG